AGAGUUUGAACCUGGCUCAGGAUGAACGCUAGCGGCAGGCCUAACACAUGCAAGUCGAACGGUAACAGGGCCUUCGGGCUAGAUGCUGACGAGUGGCGCACGGGUGCGUAACGCGUAUGCAAUCUACCUCUAUCUGAAGGAUAGCCCAGAGAAAUUUGGAUUAAUACUUCAUAACAUCACGUAUUCGCAUGAAUGUGUGAUUAAAACUCCGGUGGAUAGAGAUGAGCAUGCGUCCUAUUAGCUUGUUGGUGAGGUAAUGGCUCACCAAGGCUACGAUAGGUAGGGGGCCUGAGAGGGUGAUCCCCCACACUGGUACUGAGACACGGACCAGACUCCUACGGGAGGCAGCAGUGAGGAAUAUUGGACAAUGGGCGCAAGCCUGAUCCAGCCAUGCCGCGUGCAGGAUGACGGCCCUAUGGGUUGUAAACUGCUUUUAUACGGGAAUAAACCUCUCUACGUGUAGAGAGCUGAAGGUACCGUAAGAAUAAGGACCGGCUAACUCCGUGCCAGCAGCCGCGGUAAUACGGAGGGUCCAAGCGUUAUCCGGAUUUAUUGGGUUUAAAGGGUCCGCAGGCGGGAUAUUAAGUCAGUGGUGAAAGCCUACAGCUUAACUGUAGCACUGCCAUUGAUACUGGUAUUCUUGAGUAUGGUUGAAGUGGGCGGAAUAUGUCAUGUAGCGGUGAAAUGCAUAGAUAUGACACAGAACACCGAUUGCGAAGGCAGCUCACUAGCCUAAUAUUGACGCUGAGGCACGAAAGCGUGGGUAGCGAACAGGAUUAGAUACCCUGGUAGUCCACGCCGUAAACGAUGAUCACUCGACAUUGGCAAUACACCGUCAGUGUCCAAGCGAAAGUGUUAAGUGAUCCACCUGGGGAGUACGAUCGCAAGGUUGAAACUCAAAGGAAUUGACGGGGGCCCGCACAAGCGGUGGAGCAUGUGGUUUAAUUCGAUGAUACGCGAGGAACCUUACCAGGACUUAAAUGUUUUCUGACAGGCUGGGAAACCAGUUUUUCUUCGGACAGAUUACAAGGUGCUGCAUGGUUGUCGUCAGCUCGUGCCGUGAGGUGUCGGGUUAAGUCCCAUAACGAGCGCAACCCCUAUUCUUAGUUGCUACCAGGUAAUGCUGAGGACUCUAAGGAAACUGCCCGCGCAAGCGGUGAGGAAGGUGGGGACGAUGUCAAGUCAUCACGGCCCUUACGUCCUGGGCUACACACGUGCUACAAUGGCGAGUACAAAGGGCUGCUACCUGGUGACAGGAUGCAAAUCUCUAAAACUCGUCUCAGUUCGGAUUGAAGUCUGCAACUCGACUUCAUGAAGCUGGAAUCGCUAGUAAUCGUAUAUCAGCCAUGAUACGGUGAAUACGUUCCCGGGCCUUGUACACACCGCCCGUCAAGCCAUGGAAGCCGGGGGUGCCUGAAGUCGGUCACCGCAAGGAGCCGCCUAGGGCAAAACUGGUAACUGGGGCUAAGUCGUAACAAGGUAACC
rnacentral:rRNA from 1 species